GACGAACGCUGGCGGCGUGCUUAACACAUGCAAGUCGAACGAAGAGCGAUGGAAGCUUGCUUCUAUCAAUCUUAGUGGCGAACGGGUGAGUAACGCGUAAUCAACCUGCCCUUCAGAGGGGGACAACAGUUGGAAACGACUGCUAAUACCGCAUACGAUCCAAUCUCGGCAUCGAGGAUGGAUGAAAGGUGGCCUCUAUUUAUAAGCUAUCACUGAAGGAGGGGAUUGCGUCUGAUUAGCUAGUUGGAGGGGUAACGGCCCACCAAGGCGAAGAUCAGUAGCCGGUCUGAGAGGAUGAACGGCCACAUUGGGACUGAGAAACGGCCCAGACUCCUACGGGAGGCAGCAGUGGGGAAGCUUCCGCAAUGGACGAAAGUCUGACGGAGCAACGCCGCGUGAGUGAUGACGGCCCUCGGGUUGUAAAGCUCUGUUAAUCGGGACGAAAGGUCCUCUUGCGAAUAGUUAGAGGAAUUGACGGUACCGGAAUAGAAAGCCACGGCUAACUACGUG
rnacentral:rRNA from 1 species